rnacentral:lncRNA from 1 species
GAAAAUUCUAGAACUGAAGAUGGGUUAAGCCACAGACACUGCUUCUCAUCUCCAUACCUCCGAGCUCCUGACAGAGAUGAAAAGCCCAGGGAAAGCCAUUUACAAUGGAGAUGCUGACCUGUCACUCCACAGAAGCCUGAAGGAUGGCACAUCGAUCGGCUCCCAGGCCCUGCAACUCCCAGAUAACCCCCAGGCAACUGAAGAGCAGAAACCAACUGUUUGUGGCCAGCCCUGAGCUAGGGAC